GCAAGCCCAAUGGGCAGUUCUUCAGAGAUUUUAGGACUGAGUCCUUAUGAAAAUGGGCCAAAAAUAAAUCAAAAAUGUGAGAACAGUUAAGGUUCGUUCCUUAGUUUAGGUUUUUUUCUAAUUGUAAGAAACGCAUAUGUGGCACGAUUUAAUUGGUUGGUAAACAGAGAAAAAAAAAAAAAUUUCUUCCCCGAUUUCAUUUCUCUCUCUCUCCUUUCUUGUAAACUCCGACGGCGAAAGACGAUGCAAACUUCUCGAUCUUCAUCGUCCGGCGUCAUGACCAUCAAAUCGGAGCAGAAAAGCCGAAGAGUUUUGUGUGGAUCCGUCGUCGUCCCCCUCGAGCCAUCGAAUCCGGUUAGCUUGACUCAUCAUAGCCAGAAUUCGAUUCGCAGAUGGAUAAAGAUAAAAGGAAUAAUGAAACGAGAAUGGUGUGGCUAGUGGUGGUGAUGGAGAACCUUUUCUUGUUACAAGAAACUGUGAACUUCCUCCUAGAUGGGGUGGUCCUAACGGUACAAUGCUUUUGGUGUGGUGAGAAGCAAUUCGUCUCCCAUGGCUCCAAUAACUUUGUAAUUUCUUGCAGAACAGAUGGAAAACGUUGGUUCACACAUCAAGCACAUCACCACAACAACGAAGAGGAAGACCAGUGCCUCAAGAACUGCAAGACAGAGUCCUAGCCAUGUUCGUGUGUCUAAGUGUAGGCUGAGUAUCUUCAAGAAGAAGAUGAUGUUCUUUCUUGUAUAGUUUUUUUUUUUGAUGUGUUUUCAAAUGAAUCUUGUAUACUUUGUCAUAUUAUUGUCAUGAAUCUUUGUUAUCCAAAAUGUGUUUAUCAAGAAUGUAUCAAAAACUUGUAUACUUUAUCUU